rnacentral:rRNA from 1 species
CUACGGGCUGCUCCAGUGGGGAAUAUUGCACAGUGGGCGAAAGCCUGAUGCAGCAACGCCGCGUGAGGGACGACGGCCUUCGGGUUGUAAACCUCUUUUAGCAGGGAAGAAGCGAGAGUGACGGUACCUGCAGAAAAAGCACCGGCUAACUACGUGCCAGCAGCCGCGGUAAUACGUAGGGUGCAAGCGUUGUCCGGAAUUAUUGGGCGUAAAGAGCUCGUAGGCGGUUUGUCGCGUCUGCUGUGAAAAUCCGAGGCUCAACCUCGGACCUGCAGUGGGUACGGGCAAACUAGAGUGCGGUAGGGGAGAUUGGAAUUCCUGGUGUAGCGGUGGAAUGCGCAGAUAUCAGGAGGAACACCAAUGGCGAAGGCAGAUCUCUGGGCCGUAACUGACGCUGAGGAGCGAAAGCGUGGGGAGCGAACAGGAUUAGAUACCCCUGUAGUC